AGCAGCUAAGCUUUCACUUUGAAAAUAUUUAGUUGAAUAAACCUUAUUUUUUCCAAUGCUAUUAGUCGCACUCGGGAGUUUGAUCUUUGUUAGGGAUGCGGUUAGGUCAGGGGUGGGAUAAUUUUUCUGUGGUUACUUCAUCUGGGCAGAGAAGUUGAAGAUAGAAGGUGGUAGUCUCCUCUUUUUAUUUCUUAGUUCUGUUCAUCUGGCACAAGCUUAUGAAGUGUUUUCCUUUGAAAACCCUCAAGUGUGGGAAAAAGUUAAUGCUGCUUUCUUUUGGCUCAGAAGCUCAUAUUCCUAUGGCUAGACAGUCCAAGCCGAGCCUAGACAGUGCUGUACCAUCACGGACCUUGGCCUGGAGGUGUGACUGCAGAAGAGCAUUCACUGAAAAAAUCUGCAAGGUGGAGACUAUGUUGGCCAAAGGUGUUUGUGUAGAUGGGUGCACUGCAUGUUGUUUACUUUAAUCCUACCACUUCCACAGGAUGAUCUGGG
ensembl:lncRNA